rnacentral:rRNA from 1 species
AAAGGAAUUGACGGGGGCCCGCACAAGCGGAGGAACAUGUGGUUUAAUUCGAUGAUACGCGAGGAACCUUACCCGGGCUCGAACGGCUGAUGAAUAUGGAUGAAAGUCUGUAGUCGCAAGACAUUGGUCGAGGUGCUGCAUGGUUGUCGUCAGCUCGUGCCGUGAGGUGUCGGCUUAAGUGCCAUAACGAGCGCAACCCUUACCGUCAGUUACCAUCAAGUGAAGUUGGGGACUCUGGCGGGACUGCCACCGUAAGGUGCGAGGAAGGUGGGGAUGACGUCAAAUCAGCACGGCCCUUACGUCCGGGGCGACACACGUGUUACAAUGGGGGGGACAAAAAGGAGCUACUUAGCGAUAAGGUGCGAAUCAAUAAACCCUCUCCCAGUUCGGAUUGGAGUCUGCAACCCGACUCCAUGAAGCUGGAUUCGCUAGUAAUCGCGCAUCAGCCAUGGCGCGGUGAAUACGUUCCCGGGCCUUGCACACACCGCCCGU